GAGCACUGUUUCGGCAAGGGGGUCAUCCCGACUUACCAACCCGAUGCAAACUGCGAAUACCGGAGAAUGUUAUCACGGGAGACACACGGCGGGUGCUAACGUCCGUCGUGAAGAGGGAAACAACCCAGACCGCCAGCUAAGGUCCCAAAGUCAUGGUUAAGUGGGAAACGAUGUGGGAAGGCCCAGACAGCCAGGAUGUUGGCUUAGAAGCAGCCAUCAUUUAAAGAAAGCGUAAUAGCUCACUGGUCGAGUCGGCCUGCGCGGAAGAUGUAACGGGGCUAAACCAUGCACCGAAGCUGCGGCAGCGACGCUGAUGCGUUGUUGGGUAGGGGAGCGUUCUGUAAGCCUGUGAAGGUGUGCUGUGAGGCAUGCUGGAGGUAUCAGAAGUGCGAAUGCUGACAUAAGUAACGAUAAAGCGGGUGAAAAGCCCGCUCGCCGGAAGACCAAGGGUUCCUGUCCAACGUUAAUCGGGGCAGGGUGAGUCGACCCCUAAGGCGAGGCCGAAAGGCGUAGUCGAUGGGAAACAGGUUAAUAUUCCUGUACUUGGUGUUACUGCGAAGGGGGGACGGAGAAGGCUAUGUUGGCCGGGCGACGGUUGUCCCGGUUUAAGCGUGUAGGCUGGUUUUCCAGGCAAAUCCGGAAAACUAAGGCUGAGGCGUGAUGACGAGGCACUACGGUGCUGAAGCAACAAAUGCCCUGCUUCCAGGAAAAGCCUCUAAGCAUCAGGUAACAUCAAAUCGUACCCCAAACCGACACAGGUGGUCAGGUAGAGAAUACCAAGGCGCUUGAGAGAACUCGGGUGAAGGAACUAGGCAAAAUGGUGCCGUAACUUCGGGAGAAGGCACGCUGAUAUGUAGGUGAAGUCCCUCGCGGAUGGAGCUGAAAUCAGUCGAAGAUACCAGCUGGCUGCAACUGUUUAUUAAAAACACAGCACUGUGCAAACACGAAAGUGGACGUAUACGGUGUGACGCCUGCCCGGUGCCGGAAGGUUAAUUGAUGGGGUCAGCGCAAGCGAAGCUCUUGAUCGAAGCCCCGGUAAACGGCGGCCGUAACUAUAACGGUCCUAAGGUAGCGAAAUUCCUUGUCGGGUAAGUUCCGACCUGCACGAAUGGCGUAAUGAUGGCCAGGCUGUCUCCACCCGAGACUCAGUGAAAUUGAACUCGCUGUGAAGAUGCAGUGUACCCGCGGCAAGACGGAAAGACCCCGUGAACCUUUACUAUAGCUUGACACUGAACAUUGAGCCUUGAUGUGUAGGAUAGGUGGGAGGCUUUGAAGUGUGGACGCCAGUCUGCAUGGAGCCGACCUUGAAAUACCACCCUUUAAUGUUUGAUGUUCUAACGUUGACCCGUAAUCCGGGUUGCGGACAGUGUCUGGUGGGUAGUUUGACUGGGGCGGUCUCCUCCUAAAGAGUAACGGAGGAGCACGAAGGUUGGCUAAUCCUGGUCGGACAUCAGGAGGUUAGUGCAAUGGCAUAAGCCAGCUUGACUGCGAGCGUGACGGCGCGAGCAGGUGCGAAAGCAGGUCAUAGUGAUCCGGUGGUUCUGAAUGGAAGGGCCAUCGCUCAACGGAUAAAAGGUACUCCGGGGAUAACAGGCUGAUACCGCCCAAGAGUUCAUAUCGACGGCGGUGUUUGGCACCUCGAUGUCGGCUCAUCACAUCCUGGGGCUGAAGUAGGUCCCAAGGGUAUGGCUGUUCGCCAUUUAAAGUGGUACGCGAGCUGGGUUUAGAACGUCGUGAGACAGUUCGGUCCCUAUCUGCCGUGGGCGCUGGAGAACUGAGGGGGGCUGCUCCUAGU
rnacentral:rRNA from 1 species